rnacentral:rRNA from 1 species
AUUGAACGCUGGCGGCGGGCCUAACACAUGCAAGUCGAACGGAGCGGCGGACGGGUGAGGAAGGCCUAGGAAUCUGCCUGGGAGUGGGGGCUACCAUCCGGAGACGGGCGAUAAUACCGCAUACUAUCAGAUGAGCCUAGGUCGGAUUAGCUAGUUGGUGGGGUACAGGCCUACCAAGGCGACGAGCCGUAACGGGCCUGAGAGGAUGAUCGGGCAAACUGGAACUGAGACACGGCCCAGAAUCCUACGGGAGGCAGCAGUGGGGAAUGUUGGACAAUGGCAGAAAGCCGGAUCGAGCCACGCCGCGUGAGUGAAGAAGGUUUUCGGAUCGUAAAGCUCUUUAAGUUGGGAGGCGGUACCUAAAGAAUAAGCACCGGCUAACUACGUGCCAGCAGCCGCGGUAAUAC